AUUGAACGCUGGCGGCAGGCUUAACACAUGCAAGUCGAGCGGAGAGAGGUAGCUUGCUACUGAUCUUAGCGGCGGACGGGUGAGUAAUGCUUAGGAAUCCGCCUAUUAGUGGGGGACAACAUUUCGAAAGGAAUGCUAAUACCGCAUACGUCCUACGGGAGAAAGCAGGGGAUCUGCGGACCUUGCGUUAAUAGAUGAGCCUAAGUCGGAUUAGCUAGUUGGUGGGGUAAAGGCCUACCAAGGCGACGAUCUGUAGCGGGUCUGAGAGGAUGGUCCGCCACACUGGGGCUGAGACACGGCCCAGACUCCUACGGGAGGCAGCAGUGGGGAAUAUUGGACAAUGGGCGCAAGCCUGAUCCAGCCAUGCCGCGUGUGUGAAGAAGGCCUUAUGGUUGUAAAGCACUUUAAGCGAGGAGGAGGCUACUUUAGAUAAUACCUAGAGAUAGUGGACGUUACUCGCAGAAUAAGCACCGGCUAACUCUGUGCCAGCAGCCGCGGUAACAC
rnacentral:rRNA from 1 species